rnacentral:rRNA from 1 species
UCGGGAAUUUUGGGCAAUGGGGGCAACCCUGACCCAGCAACGCCGCGUGAGGGAUGAAGGCCUUCGGGUCGUAAACCUCUGUCGGGAGGGAAGAAAGGUAACCGGGCAAAUAGUCCGGGGGCUUGACGGUACCUCCAAAGGAAGCGCCGGCUAACUCCGUGCCAGCAGCCGCGGUAAUACGGAGGGCGCAAGCGUUGUUCGGAAUCAUUGGGCGUAAAGCGCGUGUAGGCGGUUUGGUAAGUCGGACGUGAAAGCCCGGGGCCCAACCCCGGAAUUGCGCUCGAAACUACCUCGCUAGAGUCCCGGAGAGGAAGGCGGAAUUCCAGGUGUAGAGGUGAAAUUCGUAGAUAUCUGGAGGAACACCAGUGGCGAAGGCGGCCUUCUGGACGGUGACUGACGCUGAGACGCGAAAGCGUGGGGAGCAAACAGGAUUAGAUACCCCCGUAGUCC